CGGCGGACGGGUACCGGUCCGCCAGCGCCCGCAACUGUUGUUCGCGGCGGCCGACGAUCGUCACGUUGGCCCCCGCC
rnacentral:tRNA from 1 species